GAUGAAGAACGUAGCAAAUGCGAUACUUGGUGUGAAUUGCAGAAUCCCGUGAACCAUCGAGUCUUUGAACGCAAGUUGCGCCCGAAGCCAUUAGGCCGAGGGCACGCCUGCCUGGGCGUCACACGUCGUUGCCCCCCCAUCUACUCCUUCGGGAUUGCGGGGGGCGGAUGAUGGCCUCCCGUGCGCCUCGUCGCGCGGUUGGCAUAAAUGCCAAGUCCUCGGCGACGCACGCCACGACAAUCGGUGGUUGCGAAACCUCGGUUGCCCGUCGUGUGCGGUCGUCGCGCAUCGGGGGCUCGAAAAAAUUGUCGGGCUCCGGCUCGGCUUUCAACGCGACCCCAGGUCAGGCGGGGUUACCCGCUGAAUUUAAGCAUAUCAAUAAGCGGAGGA
rnacentral:misc_RNA from 1 species